rnacentral:lncRNA from 1 species
AGAAAAAUGGCAUCGUGCUCUUUGCUGGUCUGCUUUUUUUCUCACUUCAUUUUAACCACACCAAUAUCUGGAGCUUUGGCCAAACAACUUGGCUUCUAGAAAAUGUGGAGGUCAACUCCCUUAGAUCUUUUAAAUUCCAAGAACAAAAGAUAAAAGAAGCUCUACCAAAAAUCUUCCUACCUUGAUGUGUACGUCUGUAAUUGUGGUGUUAAAGUUGUGUAGGGAAAAAGGGAGAAAGCUUCAUUUGUCUUCCUCCAGCUUGAGUUGAUAGUUGGUGAUUGGACUAAUGGUCCCAUGUACUGUUGUAACUUCAGG